CCGAGUGAGGGCCCUCCGGGUCCAACCUCCCACCCGUGUCUAUUGUACCUUGUUGCUUCGGCGGGCCCGCCGUUUCUGACGGCCGCCGGGGAGGCCCUCGCGCCCCCGGGCCCGCGCCCGCCGAAGACCCCAACAUGAACACUGUUCUGAAAGUAUGCAGUCUGAGUUUGAUUAUCAUAAUCAGUUA
rnacentral:misc_RNA from 1 species